AUACGGAGGAUCCGAGCGUUAUCCGGAUUUAUUGGGUUUAAAGGGAGCGUAGGUGGAUUGUUAAGUCAGUUGUGAAAGUUUGCGGCUCAACCGUAAAAUUGCAGUUGAAACUGGCAGUCUUGAGUACAGUAGAGGUGGGCGGAAUUCGUGGUGUAGCGGUGAAAUGCUUAGAUGUCACGAAGAACUCCGAUUGCGAAGGCAGCUCACUAGACUGCAACUGACACUGAUGCUCGAAAGUGUGGGUAUCAAACAGGAUUAGAUACCCUGGUAGUCCACACAGUAAACGAUGAAUACUCGCUGUUUGCGAUAUACAGUAAGCGGCCAAGCGAAAGCAUUAAGUAUUCCACCUGGGGAGUACGCCGGCAACGGUGAAACUCAAAUGAAUUGGCGGG
rnacentral:rRNA from 1 species